rnacentral:tRNA from 1 species
GGCGCCUGGCAGAGUGGUUAUUGCGUCUGUCUCCAAACCUUCGGGGGAGGUAACAGCAUGCCUUCGGGUGCGCGAGUUCGAAUCGUGCAGGUGUCG